rnacentral:lncRNA from 13 species
CAUGAUGUCCACACACCUACACGUUUUCUAGUCGUGGUUUAUUUAUUUAAUUAUUUCUUCUAGAAUGGUUGUCUGGGGAAAACAGCACUGCUGUGUUGGCAGAAUACAGGACAUUUUCUUGAGAUUCAAGAUUGUUCAAGCGGUCCUUUUACUUCAGUUAUUCCUGGCUACAGCAAGCAAAGAUCAGGAGGAUUUCCUAGGGCGAUACAAAGCUGUCUUUAAGACUGCAUGUGAAGAUCCGUGGAGUAUGUCAUCAAGAGUUUCUCUGCGUCCCUUGAGAGAAUUCCUUGUCUGUGUGCACCUCAAGCUGUAUUCCUCAAAUAGUCCGUGGACAGCAUAUGUAUAUGUUGAAAAACCUCUUCACACCAAUCUGUCUGCAAAUAAGUAUGAUCUUGGACUUACAGGAGAUCAUGGUAAAUUGAAGAUAUGGUUGUUCAGAAAACAAAUAAAUACAACUGUAAGACUUCGUAAAAACACUUGGAACCAAAUAUGUAUCCAGUGGAAAAGUGACAAUGAGGAGAUGAAGGUAUUCAUAAAUGGAAAACAAGAAUCACGCAAGAAACUAAAUGGGAAAUUUAAUUUGCCUGGAAAAGGCCAGUUCUUACUUGGCUGUUCAAAGCUGCGAGGUACAUCUGCGUCACCUCACCAGGGAAUGACUGGGGAGCUGUACCUGUUCAGAAUGUGGGACAAGGCAAAUAUGACACAAUCUAAGGACUGCCAGGAUAGCGGUGUUAUACGCUGGAGAAAGGAGGAUUGGACCUAUAAUACGACAGUAGAAGAGGAUAACUCUUUACAAUGUGUUGAAACUACUGCUAUGCUGCGUGGCAAAAAACAAGUUACAGAAUUUACAGAUUCAGAAGAAUCAGCUGCAACAACAGUUUCUGGUAAGAAAGUCAGGACUUUACUGAUUUCUGCAAUGUUUUUUAUUUCCUUUUAUGUAAAUCUGCUUUUAUCUGUGGUAAUGCAGGAACGUUGUAAUGUAACAGAGUUCCAACACUAA